rnacentral:misc_RNA from 1 species
CGCACAUUGCGCUCCCUGGUAUUCCUAGGAGCAUGCCUGUCUGAGCGUCAGUACACACCCUCCGUCGUGCUCUUUGCGGGGCGCGAUCGGGUCCUGAGGCGUCGGUGGGGGGUUCGCCCCUCCCGCCCUCUAAAGUGGAAAGCUCAGCGGCCCGCCUGCCCAUGAAAGACGUAGUAAUAGCUCAUGAAUCGUCCGCGAAAGGGUGCCCGGCGCGGCUCGCCUCAAAUCUUCUCAAGGUUUGACCUCAGAUCAGACAAGAAUACCCGCUGAACUUAA